rnacentral:rRNA from 1 species
UACGAAGGGUGCAAGCGUUACUCGGAAUUACUGGGCGUAAAGCGUGCGUAGGUGGUUUGUUAAGUCUGUUGUGAAAGCCCCGGGCUCAACCUGGGAGUGGCAAUGGAUACUGGCAAGCUAGAGUGCGGUAGAGGGUAGUGGAAUUCCCGGUGUAGCGGUGAAAUGCGUAGAGAUCGGGAGGAACACCAGUGGCGAAGGCGGCUACCUGGACCAGCACUGACACUGAGGCACGAAAGCGUGGGGAGCAAACAGG